AUGCUUGAAUAAUUGAUAUAGAAACUUUUAAAGUUAAUAAUAUAUUUUGAAUAAUUAUAGUAAAUAUUAAAAUAUUAAUUGAAUUU